rnacentral:tRNA from 1 species
GCGGGAGUGGCGGAAUUGGCAGACGCGCCGGGUUUAGGUCCCGGUGGGAGUUUCUCCCUUGGGGGUUCAAGUCCCUCCUCCCGCA